AUGAAUAGAGGAUGUUGUGUUUGAGCUACUGUCUUUGUUGUAUUAAUAAUAUUGUUUCUCGGGGAAUGAGUACCAGGGUCUGUAAGAAAGAUAGAAGAUGAUAGAAAGAUAAAGUGACCUUAAUUUUAUUAAUAUGAGAUUUAUUGUGAUUAAUUGUCAAUUUUUAAUAUCAAUAAUGCCACGAGUUUUGACGGAUAUCGAUAAUAGGUGAGAUUUAGUCACCUCGUGUGUCUACUUAGAGUGGUAUGAUGGCUAUAUAACUAACUUCUAAAACAUACACGUAUCGAAGAUGUAACUCUGUAAAAACAUUAUCGAUUUAUUAAAUUUACUUUGUAUAUUUCCUAUUAUUGAUGAUCACUUGAUUUUCCUGUAUACUUAAUCUAUGUAUUCAUAAAAUAUAAUUCUAAACCUUUUAUAUUUUUGGUAUAAUUAUUACUUUCCUACCUCGAUAUUUUCAAUGGCACUUUGAAAUAAAUAGAUGUUGUAAUAGAAACACGGUAGAUCACUUCUCGUAUAAAUUUCACUAUGACACAACUGAUUGACCGUAACUUAACGUACUGAGUGCCUCUAGGAAUAAUUGACCGUAUCUGAGCCAGAAUGCUUCAUAUUUUGGGCUUUUUAUAAUAAAUUUGAUUACCCUAAAUCUUAUGUGCUACCGUUACAUAUUGUUUGUUAUUUCCUGUUUGUUUUAUAUAAUUAUUAUAUGCCUUUUUUCUGCGAAGCUUCAUUAGUAUAUUUUUAUACAUUUAAUAGGUAUAUUUACAUCGUAUUUUUAUUGGUAUACAAAUCAUUUUGCGCGGUUUCUCAAUUAAAGUCUUAAAUAGUAAAUUAUGACAUUAAUGAUAUAUUGUGUACAUCAUGACGGUAUUAAGCAUUCUUUUGAUGCAGUUUUUAUGAAAGUCCAAUAAAAAAAAAGCACAGGAAGUGUUUGAAAGAGACUACUUAAGCAUGUAAAAAAAAAUGUUUAAAUAAUUUUACAUUGAUUUAUACUUGAUUUUUGACUGUAUGAUUGCUGUUGACAACGUCUAACCUAUGCCAAAUUAAAGAUUUAAAGUGUACUAUAAAAAAAAAAAAA